GAUUUGGAUGCCAAGGAAUGAAAGAAAUGAAUAAUGCUGGUUAAACAAUGUGGUAGCCAGGAAGAUGAUUGGACAGUUGCCUGAAAAACUUGGUUGUAGAAGAAAGGAAUCAUCAGCAUGUCUUCACUGCCCAAUCACUUCUCAUUCCCUCUGGAAAUGUCACUAGGUCUGCCUUUCAAAAACUGGAGAGCAUGUGAGGAUUAUAAUUCCAUGUAGGGGCUAUGCAGUUAGGAAGAAGUGGUGAUACCUGCCAGAGCUGGGGGAAACUGCUGGCCUUUAAUCUAAAAAUCUGCCUCCUGGGAGCCUCUUGUGACAGGUCCUCUUUUCUUCGUUUUCAAAUGAAGAAGCUGAAGCUUAGAGAAUGAGGCUCAGAGUGCUGGGAUUGGAACGGGAGAUAGGGGCAAUCAGUAAUGAUGCCAGGAAAAAAAGAAGACCAUUGAAGUAUUUAAAAGAAAAUGUGCAGAACAGAAGGAAGUUCAGAAGGAAACAUGGGUGCCAGGGCAAUUUUGAAAAUAACUUAGAAUUUAUUUUACAUAUAUAUUUUUUAAAUUUUACAUAUAUUUAAAAAAACCAAGCAAUAUGAAAUUGAGAUUUUCCAUUUCAUAUACAUAGUUUUCUGAGCUACUCUACUUUUCAUAUGUAAAUGUUCUUUUUUUCUGGCAUCUGUUAAUUGCCGAAUGACACAUCAUUAAGAAGUAGAAUUCUGUUUGCUUCUAUUCCCAUGUUUUCCAAAAAUAUUACUAAGGUUUCUAAAAACAUAAUUAAUAAAUAGUUUCUGAAACGUAUCA
rnacentral:lncRNA from 1 species